AGAGUUUGAUCCUGGCUCAGAACGAACGCUGGCGGCGUGGCUAAGACAUGCAAGUCAAACGGACAGGUCAAUUGAGCAAUCGAGAGGCCUGUUAGUGGCGCAAGGGUGAGGAAUAGACAGGUAACGUACCCUGAACUCUGGAAUAGCGUCAUUCACCGCAAGGUGAAUUUCCGAAAGGGGCGGUAAUACCAGAUAAUGUUAUCUUUCGUAUGGGAGAUAACCAAAGAUUCAUCGGUUUGGGAGCGGCCUGUUUCCUAUCAGCUUGUUGGCGAGGUAACGGCUCACCAAGGCAACGACGGGUACCGGGACUGAGAGGUUGGCCCGGCACAUCGGAACUGAGACACUGUCCGGACCUCCACGGAGGGCUGCAGUAACGAAUAUUGGGCAAUGGGCGAAAGCCUGACCCAGCGACGCCGCGUGUAGGAUGAAGUCUUUCGGGACGUAAACUACUGUCAGGGGUAAGAAAGUCUUCGGAUUGAUCUAACCCAAAGGAAGUCACGGCUAACUCUGUGCCAGCAGCCGCGGUAAUACAGAGGUGGCAAGCGUUGUUCGGAAUCACUGGGCUUAAAGCGUGUGUAGGCGGAACAGUGUGUGUUUUGUGAAAUCCCCCGUCUUAACCGGGGAAUUGCUUGGCAGACUACUGUUCUUGAGGCAGGCAUGGGUGCGUGGAACUCUUGGUGGAGCGGUGAAAUGCGUAGAUAUCAAGAGGAACGCCUGUGGUGAAAACGGCGCACUGGACCUGUACUGACGCUGAGACACGAAAGCGUGGGGAGCGAACGGGAUUAGAUACCCCGGUAGUC
rnacentral:rRNA from 1 species